CAUGCAAGUCGAGCGGUAAGGCCCUUCGGGGUACACGAGCGGCGAACGGGUGAGUAACACGUGGGUGAUCUGCCUCGCACUCUGGGAUAAGCCUGGGAAACUGGGUCUAAUACCGGAUAUGACCUUACAUCGCAUGGUGUUUGGUGGAAAGAUUUAUCGGUGCGAGAUGGGCCCGCGGCCUAUCAGCUUGUUGGUGGGGUAAUGGCCUACCAAGGCGACGACGGGUAGCCGGCCUGAGAGGGCGACCGGCCACACUGGGACUGAGACACGGCCCAGACUCCUACGGGAGGCAGCAGUGGGGAAUAUUGCACAAUGGGCGAAAGCCUGAUGCAGCGACGCCGCGUGAGGGAUGACGGCCUUCGGGUUGUAAACCUCUUUCGACAGGGACGAAGCGCAAGUGACGGUACCUGUAGAAGAAGCACCGGCCAACUACGUGCCAGCAGCCGCGGUAAUACGUAGGGUGCGAGCGUUGUCCGGAAUUACUGGGCGUAAAGAGCUUGUAGGCGGCUUGUCGCGUCGAUCGUGAAAACUUGGGGCUCAACCCCAAGCUUGCGGUCGAUACGGGCAGGCUUGAGUACUUCAGGGGAGACUGGAAUUCCUGGUGUAGCGGUGAAAUGCGCAGAUAUCAGGAGGAACACCGGUGGCGAAGGCGGGUCUCUGGGAAGUAACUGACGCUGAGAAGCGAAAGCGUGGGUAGCGAACAGGAUUA
rnacentral:rRNA from 1 species